rnacentral:rRNA from 1 species
CUACGGGAUGCUGCAGUGAGGAAUAUUGCACAAUGGGGGGAACCCUGAUGCAGCAACGCCGCGUGGAGGAUGACGCAUUUCGGUGUGUAAACUCCUUUUAUAUGUCAAGAAAAUGACGGUAGCAUAUGAAUAAGCACUGGCUAACUCCGUGCCAGCAGCCGCGGUAAUACGGAGGGUGCAAGCGUUACUCGGAAUCACUGGGCGUAAAGGACGCGUAGGCGGGUUGGAAAGUCAGGUGUGAAAUCCUACAGCUUAACUGUAGAACUGCACUUGAAACUUCUAAUCUAGAGUAUGGGAGGGGGAGAUGGAAUUAGUGGUGUAGGGGUAAAAUCCGUAGAUAUCACUAGGAAUACCUAAAGCGAAGGCGAUCUCCUGGAACAUUACUGACGCUAAGGCGUGAAAGCGUGGGGAGCAAACAGGAUUAGAUACCCCAGUAGUC